rnacentral:rRNA from 1 species
CCCUUAGAUGUUCUGGGCAGCACGCGCGCUACAAUGGUCUUCGCAAACGGAUGCAUUCUUGAAGGAGAAUGCCAAUCUUGGAAUCUAUGCCUUGGUCGGGACAGUUGCUUGCAAUUUUUCGACUCGAACCAGGAAUUCCUUGUAAUCGUGAUUCAUCACAUCACGAUGAAUACGUCCCUGCCCUUUGUACUCACCGCCCGUCGCUCCUACCAAUUUCGAAUGAUCCGGUGAACCUUUUGGAUUGGGUGCAAGCCUAAGAAGUUAAGUAAACCUUAUCAUUUAGAGGAAGGAGAAGUCGUAACA